GCCUUCGUGGUGUAGUGGUUUGCACACUGGGCUGGUAUUCCAGAGGUCCACGGUUCGAUUCCCGGCGAAGGCG
rnacentral:tRNA from 1 species